CAUAGCAUUUACAGAAUCUAGGUUAAAGUUUUGCAUUUCACACACAGAAUCCAGGUUACAUCUUCUGUCUGUCACAUUUCCUUUACAGAAUCAAGGUUAAGUUAUGCAUCUCACACACAGAAUCCAGCUUGAAUCUUCUGUCUAUUGUAUUUUAUUUACAGAAUCUAAGUUAAGUUAUGCAUCUCACACACAGAAUCCAGUUUACAUUACUCUGUCCUCCAUAGCAUUAAAGGUUACAUCUUCUCUCUAUCACAUUUCCUUUACAGAAUCAAGGUUAAGUUAUGCAUUUCACACACAGAGUCCAGCUUACAUUACUCUUUCCUCCAUAGCAUUUACAGAAUCAAGGUUAAGUUAUGCAUUUCACACACAGAGUCCAGCUUACAUUACUCUUUCCUCCAUAGCAUUUACAGAAUCAAGGUUAAGUUAUGCAUUUCACACACAAAGUCCAGCUUACAUUACUCUUUCCUCCAUAGCAUUUACAGAAUCAAGGUUAAGUUAUGCAUUUCACACACAAAGUCCAGCUUACAUUACUCUUUCCUCCAUAGCAUUUACAGAAUCAAGGUUAAGUUAUGCAUUUCACACACAGAUCCACCUUACAUUACUCUUUCCUCCAUAUCAUUUACAGAAUCAAGGUUAAGUUAUGCAUUUCACACACAGAUCCACCUUACGUCACUCCUCCUUCCAUAGCAUUUACAGAAUCAAGGUUAAGUUAUGCAUUUCACACACAGAUUCACCUUACGUCACUCCUCCUUCCAUAGCAUUUACAGAAUCAAGGUUAAGUUAUGCAUUUCACACACAGAUCCACCUUACGUCACUCCUCCUUGCAUAGCGUUUCACACAGAUACAAAACCCAAGGAAACCAAGCAUACAUGUGCCUCGUCUGGUAUGGCUUCGAGUAUACCAUGUCAUGAGCAUACCAAAUACUUUAACCCGGUAGCAGCAACAGGCCAAAUUUGUGGCUUUACCGUGUAGCAGCGAUGGGCCAAAUUUGUGGCUUUACCGUGUAGCAGCGAUGGGCCAAAUUUGUGGCUUUACUGUGUAGCAGCGACGGGCCAAAUUUGAGGCUUUAUCGUGUAGCAGCGAUGGGCCAAAUUUGUGGCUUUACCGUGUAGCAGCGACGGGCCAAAUUUGAGGCUUUACCGUGUAGCAGCGACGGGCCAAAUUUGUGCCAUGAUAUAAACCCCCGAAAAUAGAUGAUGCAUAAACUGAUCACAAAUGCGUUGAUAUAUAUUAUGAAAUGGUUUGCGUGAAUGAUGAUUUUUUCUCAUUAUUCUCGCUUAGAGGGACCAUUAGGAAACAUGAUCCCAGCUGCUACUGGGUUAAAAAGAACGGUAGCACAUCCUGCCCUAGCCCUCCUUAAAUAAGUAGUCAUUUAUUCCUUGUUCUUUUCACCUUCUCGUAUCAUAAAAAAAUAAAGAAUAAAUGAGUGAAAUAAAACAAUUCCUAUAGGUGUGGAGAACAGUCUGCCUUGCCCUUGUAAAAAAAACACCUCCGUCGACUUAGUGUGCGUAUAGAAAAGAUGUCUAUAGAGUUCUCUAGCAUGGGGUUGAGGUUCCAUUUCCUAUACGAUUCUUGAGCCAACUUAUAAGCUGCCUAUAUAUGGAUUAUUAUCAUUAUUAUUCCUAUUAUUAUCCUUAUGAGCGAUAGAGCGAGAGAGAGAGAGAGAGAGAGAGAGAGAGAGAGAGAGAGAGAGAGAGAGAGAGAGAGAGAGAGA